AUUUGAUCUACAAGAAUGACAGUGCAACAAUAUUUAGAGAUAGAGUACUUGUUGAAUAGUUGAAAAUCACACAUCAUUAUUAUCUCCAGCCAUUACAAUGCAAUGCAAUGCAUUUUAACAGUGAAGGUUUUCUAACAAAUAGCUCUUUUUUCCUAAGCUAACCUAAAAAAUGUAUAAAUAUAUAGAUGACAUUUGGCAGGGCCAUGGCAUCAUGAGGCACCCAAUACACAUGAUGAGCUACAUGACAAUGCAACGAUGACAAAAACACACAAAAUAUUCACAUAUUUACACUGACAAAUUGUUGGAAAAAAAAGGAGCGAAGAGAGAGAAAAAAAGCUGAGUGGCAUCAGCAGUUGAGAUAAAAGCGGCAGUUGUAACAAAAUCUUUCUUCAAGAUUUUGCAAGAGGCAGGGUGAGAUUGUUUGGUGGUGCAGCCCUCGUUAUGCGACCAGAAGAGGAAACGAAGUGGAAAAGCGACUUAAGGCAGCAAGGAGCAUUGGGAUUAAGUAAUAAUGAAAACAGUACAAGUAAUUUACGAAGCUUCAUCAAGUCAGAAAUAGGCAACCAUUUAAGUUCUUGAAAAAGAUCAACGGAGGGAGUAGAGAAGUCCACAGACAGGAUAAUUCUAGCAGCGCGCAUUUGAUACACUGAUACAAUAAAAAGAAGCUGACUGUGGAUACAAGCAUUGUAAAAGUGACGAGAACCAGCCUGCGUCGAGUAUGGAUGAAAUCUACGCAAAAGAUAUAUACAGCCAUUAAGCUUCUUGCAGAGUAUUUCAAUUUGUGGACCCCAUAAUUAUAGUUAAUAUAAUUAUAUUUUUUUUAUCAUGAAAUUAUAAUAUUUUUUAUCAAA